GCCAUACUUGAUUAUCUAAUUCUGUAACCGUUUUCCAACCAUUUGAAGAAGGGCUUAUAAGCUUGUAGAAAGUCCUGAUUGGAAAAGGAAAAAAACUUUGUACAAUGAGUUGGUUUUACAGCAUGAGAAGAUGUGGAAAGCCUCACAUCAUACAGAGUUAGUAUAGUGAUUGUGUUGUCCCUAUGGAAACAGAAUUUGUAUAGUGCUUGUGUUGUCCCUCUCGAAAAAUAGAUUGCAGUAGAUUGUGGUCAUGGAGGACUAGACACCAAUUGAGA
rnacentral:misc_RNA from 1 species